AAAAGGCUCUCUGAAGGAAAUAAGAUUCUUCGAAAGGGAUGACAAAGACUUGUUUAAUCCUAUGAGUUCAGAUCAAAAUCAAAAUCAAAAAUAAAAAAUAAGAAAAAAUCAAAAUCAAAAUCGAAAACAAAAAAUAAGAAAAAGAAAAAUCAAUCAAAGUGAAAAUUAAAAUAUGAAAAGGAGAAAAAGAAAAGAAAAGGAGAGCCCAAGGCGAAAACCCGCAAAGGGCGCUUUGUGACCAAAGGUGGUUUUGACUUGAAAACCCAAAAAAGGGGCGACUCAAAAUUUUGAGCAAAAUGGGGCCUGAACUUCAUCAUUGUCGAAGGCUUCUAAGGGGCA
rnacentral:lncRNA from 1 species